AGAGGAGGAGAGAAAGAGAUGAAGAGGAGUGAGCCAGGUUUCAGGAGGGGGCACGCAGGAGACCAGCCCUGGAUUCAGACUUGAGCCUGGUCCACACCAGAGGCCGAUAGAAGGCUUGGAUUACAGCAGGGGCAGGUUCUUUCACGAAAUCAAAUUUCUCCACUGAUUUCUGAAUUCAUAGCAAGCUAACUAGAAGAGAUUUUUAAUUCAGAAUGCUGCACUCCAACAAACUGAGAAAAACAUUGAGGGAGGGAAUACGGAAAUUUGAUGGUAUCUACUAAGUUUGAUAUUGAGAUUUUUGUAAUAAAUGUUGUUGAAUAAAAAAGGCAUCAAGCCCCUAUAUAUGAGCUCUUUGAAAUGCCUAAAUCAGAGGGAUAAAAUGAAGAAUAAUUACAGUACACAAUUUUUGAAUUAUUGUCCAAUCAACUAAAAGUAGAAGUUUUUAACAUGCUAAAAUGGAAAGUUAUUCAACAGAAUGGAAUCCUUUAAAAUAUGACGGAACUGCCACUUAAGCAUCAGAAGUCUGCUCAGGUGUGACCCUGGGAGCCCAAACUUUUCACGGAACAGCAAGGAACAUCCCUGUGCUCCUCCUUCCCAGUCUCUUUUUUUUUUUAGAGGGAGUCUCGCUGUGUUGCCCAGGCUGGAGUGCAGUGGCGAGAUCUCAGCUCACUGCAAGCUCCGUCUCCCGGGUUCACGCCAUUCUCCUGCCUCAGCCUGCCGAGUAGCUGGGACAACAGGCGCCGGCCACCAUGCCCAGGCAUACAAAACCUGCCUUGCCUCUCCCCAGUUUGAACAGUGCUUUUGAACUUUGAUGGAAAAGCCACAUUUGGAAGCUGCAGCAUCCUCGGGAGACAGCUGGAUCAGCCAGAGAGCUUCAGAACGACACACAUCACUCUGCCAGACACACACACUGCUCCAGCUCCAGCAUCCAACAUCUGACCACAUGUCGGCAGCCACCGCUGACCUGGCUCCACCAUUUCUCCCCAGGUCUAAGCUUAAGCCGCACUGCAUUGCUUCCAUUUCUUCAUGCUUGCUCUGUUCCCUUCUACCACAGGGGCUUUGUGCAAGCUCAGCCUCAACAUGGAUCUUCCCCCUUCUUCACCUGGUCAACAGCCACUCAUUCUUCAACCUUAGUUCGAGCAUCAUCAACCUCCCCGGCUAUGUCAGUUCUCCCUGUUAGACACCCUGGCUGUUCCACAUAUCUUUUAUUCAAAGUAGUUACAUAUUAAAGCAUUCCAUUUGUGCAUACAAUUAUUGUAGAAUUACUUCCCAGCAGACAGAUGCUAUAGGAGGGAAGAGACCUUUUCUGCUUAAGUAUCUAGUGCAGUGCCUGGCCCUUAAUAGGUGCUCAACAAAAAUUUUUAAAUGAAUGCUUAAAUACCAUAUCAUGGGUCAUGUCUGGUUGCAAAAAGAUAUUCAUCAUAAUAAAAAUAAUAAACUGUAAUUAAAAUAUACUCAUCAUCAUAAAAAUAAAUGAACUAGGCAGAUACUGGUGUUAAAGGUAUCACUGCCUUUAUUGUGGGCCAUUUUAGGAUGCAAGGCACAGUAGGGGUAAACAAUUAAGAGAGACUUCUGUGGUCUAGGAAUACAAGAGCUAGUAAAUAUAUAAUGUCUCCAGCAAGAGAAAGGAGGACAGGCAAGUCGGAGCAAGCUGCCCACUGGGGUGGGAGAAGGGAAUGAUAAAAGGGAGGACUGGAAAUAUACACCAAAAUGAACCAUUCAUACAACGUUUCUAUUCACAACUCAGAAUUCACUGAACAAAAAAUGACCAUUCUGUAUACGAUUCCAAUUAAAUGCAUUAUUGUUGU